UCUAUUGGAUAAUAGGCUUGAUUGGAUCAAGCUUUAUUAUCAAAUAGCUUUCCUGAAUCCAUCAAGAAUCAAUCCCUGGAUCAAUUGUAUUUUCGAUCUAACUAAUUUCAAAAUCGAUUGGGACCUAAUAUGUUUUAUAAUUAGGUUAGGAUCCAAUUAGUUAGUUUGUUAUAACUAAUUCUUAAGUUAGUUAAGAUUGGGUCCAAGAAUUAGUUAGAAUUUGAACAAGAUCUUGAAUCCUAUUUAGAAUUGGACUAAACCCAAAACAUCCCAUGUGAUUUAUUCCCCAUGCUACAUCUAUUCACCAUGAGAAAAAAAGAUCCCACACCCC
rnacentral:lncRNA from 1 species